CAUUCAUGGAGCUAUUAUGAGUUUUCAUGGUGUUCUUGAAGUUCUUGCCAAGAACAAAAAGGUUUGAAGUUUUGAUUCAAAAGUUUUAUGUUUUUCAUAAAGUUUUGGUUUAAUUUUGAUGGGUGAAAGUUAUUGGUGAAGCAUUAAUUUUGGCUUUAAUGUUUGUCUAAACUCAUUAAUGUUUUACAAAACAUUUUCUUACAAACCAUCAAUUUCACCUUUACCUCACCCACCAAAAUCAAGUUGCAUAAAACCCUUUCACACUCAUUCACACUCCAAAAGUUUUGAUACUUUUGUGUAUUUGCACUUUGGCCCAAAAGUU
rnacentral:lncRNA from 1 species